AGGCCACUGGAAUUAAGUUCAUCAUUCUCUGGUAUCCAGGAAACUGCUGAGAGAGAACUCCGUAAGUGAGGUUACAACUCCAGGGCUGACCAUUGUGUGGCAAGUGAGGCCCUGCAUAGCCUCAGUCAUCCACUUACUGGAAAUGCCAAUCAGCAGCUACUGUCUUCUCAGAUCUCCGUUCUUUCAGGACUUCAUAGUCAUUUCAGCCACAGCAUUUCACUGGAAAGUUAUGUCCAGCUGAUUAUCCACCACGGCCUCCA